rnacentral:rRNA from 1 species
AAUGCUAAGAGAAUGGAAAUUCAGAAAAAAACUUUCUUUAAAUUAAAAAUUGAAGUUUUUUUAAUUUGUGCAGAAACAAUUAUUAAUAUUAAGGACAAGAAGACCCUACGAAUUUAUUAAAUUUUAUUUAAUAUGUAAUUACUAUUAAUAAAAUUUUGACUGGGGCGGUUAAAAAAUAUUUCAAACUUUUUAAAAAUAAAAUGACCCAUUAUUAGUGAUUUUAUGUUAAAUACUCUAGGGAUAACAGCGUAA